rnacentral:rRNA from 1 species
CGGACGGGUGAGUAAUGUCUGGGAAACUGCCUGAUGGAGGGGGAUAACUACUGGAAACGGUAGCCAAUACCGCAUAACGUCGCAAGACCAAAGAGGGGGACCUUCGGGCCUCUUGCCAUCGGAUGUGCCCAGAUGGGAUUAGCUAGUAGGUGGGGUAAAGGCUCACCUAGGCGACGAUCCCUAGCUGGUCUGAGAGGAUGACCAGCCACACUGGAACUGAGACACGGUCCAG